rnacentral:lncRNA from 1 species
CGGCUGGGCCCCGCAGGCGCCGGGCACCGGAGGGGGAGGGCCCCGAGGGCCCGGGGCGCUGUUCCAAAGGCCAGAAAAUGGAAACUGUGCGAAAAGAAUCCCCAAAUCCGGCCGGGCCCCAAGCCCACCAGCUUACAUAAAGCCCCAGGAGCCCGCCCGCGGCCUCCCCGCCUCGGGGUGAACAAUCGGCGGGCGCCCGGCCAGGCUGCCCUGGGACUGGCACCACCACCGGCCCCCUGACCACGGGCCCGGCGUGACCCCGGGAGGGGGCAGGGGUCCCGGCCUCUUCCCACCAUCUGCCCCGAGAAACAUUUAACUGGCCUUUAAUCACAUUAGCAGCCGGCCCCAAUUAGGGCCGCGGGAGGGGGAGGCAGGAGGAAACCGCCGCCGUGUCACUCGAGGAUAAAGAUCCUUUCAUGCCCUGGGCCUGGCCGUGGGCAACGCGGCGGGCGCCAUCCCCAGCCUUUGAUUGCCGGCGCCUGGGCCUCGCCGACGCCGCCAUCUCUUUACCCGCCCCCCCCUCCCCAGCCCCCAGUGUGCCCUCGCCCUCGGGUGACCGCGUGGGGACGCAGGGCAGCGUCCGAGGCCCCGGCCCACGCCCGCGCGCCCACGCGCCCACGCGGCGGAAGUCUGGCCCCCUGCGCCCAGCGCCUGCGCACCGGAGCGCUCCCAGGGGGCGGCGGGGGCUCGAAGAGGGCCCCGGGGACGCCAGCGCCCGGGCCGGGACCCUGGAUUUAAUUGCACUUAAAAUUACGGAGCCUGUCAGAGCAAAUUGCAGCUAGCAUAGUUUUACCCGAGGAAACCAGUCCUGUGAUUGUCACCACCGCCAGGCUUCUGAGAGAAAAGUUGUGGGAAGGACGAUUUAAAGUCUGCACGGUGAACCACACCUCAAAUCAGUAUUCAGCACCCAGCUCGUCGCGCUGAAAGGCAGGCCCAGGUUAGCAGCCAUGAUGUUGGAGGAACCAGGCUGGGAUUUUUAAGGGAAUCCAGAACUCCCCUCCUGGAAGAAGAAGGAGAGAUGUCUACCCCGCUGGUUUUUAAGUGAAAGCGGUGUGAGUUAAUCUGUAAUUUCCCGCCCCCCCCCCCCAAAAAAGAGCAGUCAGAUGGCUUAUUAAAAAUAGGAGAGCAGAAACAGUAUUACCAGCUUCAUGUAAAGUUGGAUCUGCUCUUGGCUCAGUGGGCUCCUGCUGAUUCCCGGGGAGCAAACGGAAUUGCUGCGCAUCACGUACGAGCACAGCCUUUUCUUUGACCUUGAGAUAAGGGACCACCCUCGGGGUCUGCAAAGCUCACGUGUCCUCUCCCUCCCCCGAAACACUUCGUCUUUCCUCCAUUUUUUUUAAACAUGGGGUUUUAAGAUUUGAUUGAUUGAUUGAUUGAUUUUAAAUUUUAUUUUAAUUCCAGUGUUGUUAACAUUCAGUGUUAUAUUAGGUCUUCCUUCCUCCACUUUCGAUGAGUGAGCAUCUAGUGCUGAACGGAUUUAAUCUUGUGAAAGGCAGAGCUUUCUGGAAGAUGCAAUUCACCUGACUUCGAUCAGAUAAAAAAUAAGGUGAGACCGGACUUUGGUCUCUGGGGACAAGAGAGGACAUAGUUUAUAUUUUUCCUUCCUUCCUUCCUUCCUUCCUUCCUUCCUUCCUUCCUUCCUUCCUUCCUUCCUUCCUCAGCACUCACACUGACCAAUAAUAAAUCUCAACCAAAUGACUAUGUUUUGAUUAAU